GAUGAACGCUGGCGGCGUGCCUAAUACAUGCAAGUCGAGCGAACAGACGAGGAGCUUGCUCCUCUGACGUUAGCGGCGGACGGGUGAGUAACACGUGGAAAACCUACCUAUAAGACUGGGAUAACUUCGGGAAACCGGAGCUAAUACCGGAUAAUAUAUUGAACCGCAUGGUUCAAUAGUGAAAGACGGUUUUGCUGUCACUUAUAGAUGGAUCCGCGCCGCAUUAGCUAGUUGGUAAGGUAACGGCUUACCAAGGCAACGAUGCGUAGCCGACCUGAGAGGGUGAUCGGCCACACUGGAACUGAGACACGGUCCAGACUCCUACGGGAGGCAGCAGUAGGGAAUCUUCCGCAAUGGGCGAAAGCCUGACGGAGCAACGCCGCGUGAGUGAUGAAGGUCUUCGGAUCGUAAAACUCUGUUAUUAGGGAAGAACAAAUGUGUAAGUAACUAUGCACGUCUUGACGGUACCUAAUCAGAAAGCCACGGCUAACUACGUG
rnacentral:rRNA from 1 species